GUGGCACAAUAACCCUAUGAGGUAGAUUAGGUUGAGAGGAAAUGACUGGUGCCAGGUCUUAGUCCAACACCGUAACCACUACAACACUCUGGCUCUCAAUAUUGUACUUGCUACCUGGAAGAACAGGUUUAUUUGGGUUGUUAUUUCUGCUUGCAGCUGGCCAAAUGGAUUAAGUGGCCUAACGGCUGUUGAAAAUGCAAGGAAACAAUAGGAUUUAAAUAUAAAUGUAUUGCGGGCUUAUAAGUGCUCUGUCUCCAACCAACCACACCCUUUCUGCUCGGUGGCAGGAAAACAUUGUGGCAAAUGAAGCAUGAGAUGAGAUAUGUCUUCUCACAGUAGGAAAAUAAUAGCAUAAAAUCUGCUGCAUUGACUGAAUCAUUGCCACACCCAGGGGUCAGAGAGAGAGAUAAAAUAUUGUAUCCUGAUCUGAUGCCAAGCAAGUAAGAAUGGUAAGUUGGUUUAUAUCAUAAACAUGAGAAAUUACUUUAGCUUUUAUGAGCUGAAUAAAUUCUUUUGAAGACGUCCUAUCCAGCGCCUUGAAGAUGCAAAAUUGUUCCCUUCCCCUUUAUAUAUUAUAAUGACAGGCUGGAUAGGGACAAUGUUGUAAGCUGUUUUCCUCCAGAUAGGACUCAAAUCAAAUUUUCCUUUGAACAUUUCCCUUUGUCAAUGCAAGAAAUCAGUUUUGAAAAUCCCUUCAAUUUAAAAAGUGCUUUGGUAAGUUUUUGAUCUUUUAGGAGCAGGCGACGCUUUUUUAUGAAUUCUUUCCAGCAGCAGAUGGCAUGAUGGGGCAGCAGUACUUCCCAGUCACAUUGCUGCUGCUGCUUACAGGGAGAUCGAAGGAGAGGAGUGAAGUCCUGGUGAGGCUGAUGCAGUGCAAAUGCACCACUUUAGUCAAUCGGGUGUUUCUGCCUGUGCUUUUGCACUGUCCAGAGGUCAAGUGAGAACAGGCCCCUCCAUCAACAACAACAACAACAACAACAAUUCAUUAUUUAUGCCCCGCCCAUCUGGAGGGGCUUCCCCAGCCACUCUGGGCAGCUUCCCAAAAAAUAUUAAAAUACUGUAAAACAUUAAACAUUAAAAGCUUCCCUAAACAA